rnacentral:rRNA from 1 species
GAUGAACGCUAGCGGCAGGCCUAAUACAUGCAAGUCGAACGGUGUAGCAAUACACAGUGGCGCACGGGUGCGUAACACGUAUGCAACCUACCUUACAUUGGGGGAUAGCCUUUCGAAAGGGAGGUUAAUACCGCAUAAGACAGUAACUAGGCAUCUAGUAGCUGUUAAAGAUUUAUCGAUGUAAGCUGGGCAUGCGUCCAAUUAGUUAGUUGGCGAGGUAAUGGCUCACCAAGACGAUGAUUGGUAGGGGAACUGAGAGGUCAAUCCCCCACACUGGCACAGUGAUACGGGCCAGACUCGUACGGGAGGCAGCAGUAGGGAAUAUUGGGCAAUGGGCGCAAGCCUGACCCAGCCAUGCCGCGUGCAGGAAGAAGGCGUUAUGCGUUGUAAACUGCUUUUAUACAGGAAGAAACGACCCUUGCGAGGGGCAUUGACGGUACUGUAUGAAUAAGCACCGGCUAACUCCGUGCCAGCCGCCGCGGUAACAC